GAGUUUGAUCUUGGCUCAGGGUGGUAGGAACAUUGAGGCUGGGGCCGCCUGAGGCUUUGGCAUGAGGCUGGGGGGCUGAGGAGAGAUGUGAAACAGUUACACCGGGGGUGAAGGUGUCAGAGAGGCCUCUCAGUUUCAGCUUGAGUCGGCAGGCAGGCCAUGGUGGUGGCUGGUGGGGAAGUCACCACUGCCCCAGGCCAGAGAGGAUUGCCUCUGAGCCAGGGAUGUCCAGGGCUGCCUCUGAGAGAGGUACAGGUGGGAGUGGACACGGGCAGGUCAACCACUGUCCCUGCCCCAUGACCCCGACACAGGUCAGAUGACCCAGAUGUGGGGGGCCGAGGGCAGGAGCAGUUGAGGGGCCAGGCUAUCAGCUGAGU
rnacentral:rRNA from 1 species